rnacentral:snoRNA from 1 species
CCCCGGACUGAUAACUGGAUGGUGUGAUCGGGCGGCCUCGUGCUGCGAUUAUCAGUCCCAUACUGUCUUUUAAGUGUCCGGGAUAAUAAAGAAUUGAAAAUGCUUCUUACACGGCGCUGAAUUUACCGUUUUCUUCGCCGUUUACUUUUUCACGACAAAU